UAGAUCUGCUUCAUUCUUUCCUAAUGGAACAGUAUUUUACGAAUUUUUAUGUUUUCUUUUUCAAGAUCUAGGGUUCAUACAACACAGAUCGAGGAAUCUUGGUCUCUCUCAAUUCUCAGUAUAUUUCUUAGGGUUUUGCUUUAGUAGUUGUUGUGUUUUAACACAUCAAAUCAAGAAUUGAAGAUCCAAUUGAAGGCGGGCAUAUGCUUCUACUGUAAGCAGUAUUUGGAAGAAGAGAUCAAUGUUUGAACUUCAGCAAUGAUAGUGUAGAGAUUAUGCCCAAAGUGAGCAGAUCCAUCCCUUGUGUGUACCGGCAUUUGGCCCUGUCUGCUGAGUUAUUAUUGAAUCACCGUGAUUUACAUCCUCUCAAGUGCUCUUUCGGGCCGGAAUGUGGGGGAGCUGUUGGAGUUGGGAAUUCAACCUUUUGGGAGAAGAAGAAGCAUAUGUUUGUUCAUAUUUACUUGGUUGUAUUUUUUUUUUCAACCACAUUUAACAAAAUGAUUGAAAAUUCUUGGAGAACAUAUUUUUUAACUA